UUCCCACUGGGUGUCGUCUGGUGACAAGAUGAACUUAUUUUAUCUAAAGAAAGCCCAGAACAGUGCUUGCUGCCAGAACGGUAUGAUGACAAGAGAUGAGAAAAUGAAGCAGCUGAUUUCUGAGAGGACACCAUCAGGUCUACCCACUCAGUAUGGUGAAACUGCAGAUGAUGCAGCAGAAUCAAUACAAACAACAAGAAGAAUAAAAAAAUUGCAGAAUCUUGUUCAAGCAAAGAAGGGAUAUCAGAAAUAACAGUGAAAAAGUGAAGAAUGCAAAUGACAAAAACGAUUGUUUGGCAGAGGUGGUGAGAAACAACAACGCAGUGCUGACCUGCAUCAGCUGGGGGAGGAGGAUGGAGAAAAAGUCUUCUAGAACAGCAACAUCGCCCCAGCAGCCGCAUCAACACCUCGACAGGGAUCUUCAUGAAGAUCCAGAGGAGGAACCGGUCUGGAGCCCAAAGAUUGGAAGUGACCAGUGGAGGCCAUUUGACUGCCCACAGUCCUGGACUCCCUUCUAUCACACCUGCCAGCAAACGCAACGCGAACUGUGGGCCUGUGGUGGCAGCUUGUCUCUGCCUCGAGCCUCUGAAUGGGAUCGCUUUGAAAGUCUGAUAAAGGAACUGGACAGCAAGCAGUCGGGACAUGUGCCUUCCACAUAUGAUCCGCUCCAUCACAGAUUUGCACUUCUCACAAAACACACAAAAACAAGAGCAGAACCGUGAACCCACCAAGCCGAAGCUGGAGAGG